rnacentral:rRNA from 1 species
CCUACGGGAGGCAGCAGUGAGGAAUCUUCGUCAAUGGGCGCGAGCCUGAACCAGCAAAGUAGCGUGAAGGAUGACUGCCCUACGGGCUGUAAACUUCUUUUAUAAAGGAAUACAGUGAGGCAAGUGAGCCUUUUUGUAUGUACUUUAUGAAUUAGGAUCGGCUAACUCCGUGCCAGCAGCCGCGGUAAUACGGAGGAUCCGAGCGUUAUCCGGAUUUAUUGGGUUUAAAGGAAGCGUAGAUGGGUUGUUAAGUCAGUUGUGAAAGUUUGCGGCUCAACCGUAAAAUUGCAAUUGAUACUGGCAGUCUUGAGUACAGUUGAGGUAGGCGGAAUUCGUGGUGUAGCGGUGAAAUGCUUAGAGAUCACGAAGAACUCCGAUGGCGAAGGCAGCUUACUAAACUGCCACUGACAUUGAUGCUCGAAAGUGUGGGUAUCAAACAGGAUUAGAUACCCCUGUAGUC